rnacentral:rRNA from 1 species
CCUACGGGUGGCAGCAGUAAGGAAUAUUCGUCAAUGGACGAGAGUCUGAACCAGCCAAGUAGCGUGAAGGAUGACUGCCCUAUGGGUUGUAAACUUCUUUUAUAUGGAAGUAAAACAGGGUAUGCAUACCCUCUUGUAUGUACCAUAUGAAUAAGGAUCGGCUAACUCCGUGCCAGCAGCCGCGGUAAUACGGAGGAUCCGAGCGUUAUCCGGAUUUAUUUGGUUUAAAGGGAGCGUAGGUGGAUUGUUAAGUCAGUUGUGAAAGUUUGCGGCUCAACCGGAAAAGUGCAGUGGAUACUGGCAGUCUUGAGUGCAGUAGAGGUGAGUGGAAUUCGAGGUGUAGCGGUGAAAUGCGUAGAUAUAACGAAGAACACCGAUGGCGAAGGCAGCUCUCUGGUCUGCAACUGACGCUGAUGCUCGAAAGUGUGGGGAUCAAACAGGAUUAGAUACCCGGGUAGUC